GAUUCACAGUAAUUCUCAGCGAAAGAUAAAGAGAUUGUUCAACUCUUCAAAUCUAUGGAGUUGCGUAUGGAGCAGCGUUUCGAUCUUGUUCAUCCGCGGAACAGGGUACGUUUAUAAAUUCAUCGUGGAAGCCAGGGCCAAGGUCAGACACGAGACCUUCAUCUUGGUCCGUGAAUGCACGCUGUCCAAUGUGGACAAAGCCAAGAUCAUCGAUGCCUUCUAAUCUCUGGGAGUGAAAAUCGUCCACGACGAUUUCUUCGACCACCAUAGUCUGGUAAGUGCGAUUAAGUUGGUCGACGUUCUGAUUUCAACCGUUUGCAUGCUCAGUUGGCCGAUCAGAUUAAGUUCAUCACGGCCAUUAAAGAAGCUGGCAACAUCAAGGUACGUUUCAAAAGAAUUAAAACUUUAUUCUAUUAACAAAAAUAAUAAUAUUUUUUAUAAUUAUAUAUUAUUUUAAUCAGCUAUAUAUAUGGAAGGUGGAGCUUUUCCUCGUCUUAAGAAGUUGACGAUUGAAAGUUGUCGUUACCUCCGGUUCUUACCAAAAGAACUACCCACUUCUCUUUCUGAACUACACAUUUUCAAUUGUCCAUUGCUAAAACAACGAGUGGAGAGGGAGACAGGGGAGGACUGGCUAAUUAUUGCUCACAUCCCAAAUAUCAUUGUUAAAGACAGUACCAGAGGACUUUUUGGAAAUUCAGAUUGAUUAAUUGGUUGAUGUACUAAAUAGAUAGAAGUACAAUCAUAUAUGGAAUUAAGGUACAAAUCUAUUCGCAGCUUCUAUUUGUGACUGUGUUCUCUUCUCUUAUCAGCUUAGAUACUUUUCUUUCCUUUUAAAUUUCUAAUUCUCAGUUAUUGGCAAUGGCAGUGUUGUGAUUGUAAUAAUGAAAGUCCUUAACUAAGUCUAAUGUGCUUUGGCUCUCUACAGUCUACUCCCAAUCCAAGCACCGGUAUACCAUCGUUAGGCCUUGCAUUUUCCAGAAAUUAUCAAAAUUUUAAUAUUUUUACUUUGUUGAUUUAAAUUUUGAAAAGAGCAUCGGGAGACGAAGUUUCACAAUUUUUAGAUCUCUUUCUGAUGAAAAUUCUGAACUCGAUGAAAUGUAAUAGCAAAAUUGUUAGAGGAGCAGUGGCCUAUAUGGAAAACUCAAAAUGAUAUGGUGUGGAGACAGAAGAGCUAUUCGGUUGAGCAGAUUGCUGUGUCAUCUUAAACUGCUCUUGAUCAAUGGAUGAACACUCUUAGACAAGUGGUUAAGUCACAUGACUACUAAGGAUGGGCUAAAACCUAAACCACAAGAUAAUGAGAUCAAGAUAAAAAUUGAUGCAACUCUCUUUGAAGAACGGGCAAAUCAUAGUUGAAGUUUUGGGGGUUAACAAAGCAGCUAUUCGGUUGAGCAGAUUGCUGUGUCAUCUUACUAAUAUUUUUUAUUUAUUUCUUAUUUAAAUUAGGCGGUUAAUAUUAAGUUUAAAAUAAAUAAUAUUAAUAGUACUUAUAUCGGUUAUAUUAACGAAAGAAGCGAACUGCAAGGUAUCGCAUCCCACUAUUAAUAUUCCGCCAUACUCAAUUGAGGUUCUCUCAUCUCAAUCCAAUCUACUUCUCCCUGCAGAGUAUUAUUCAGUUUCUCAAAAGAUAUUUUACAUAGUAUAAUUAAAAUAUUGGUGGCACGUAUGUACUUAGUUGAUGAAGCUUCUUGGGUUCUCUCUCUACUUUAGGUAGGUGUUAAUCUCUCUUCAUUGGGAGAACCAUUAUUAGUAAUUCUUAUUUAUUAAUACUGUUUCAGUAUUUAUUUUUAUUUGCCCAUUUCAAUCUGCAUUACAUUAAAUUAUCAAAAUGAAUGUAUUAUGUUAGGUGCUUUAUAUUUAUCUUUUGAAGUUGAAAUUGGCACACCUUAUUUAUAAAAACAUGACAUUCUCAAUGUUGAUUGGAGACACAUUUAUUUUUCUUCGAAACUUUUGGUUUGUAGAGGGAUCAACUGCUAAGACACUACAUUGAUUGUUCGAGAUCAAGUAGAGUGGUUUCUGAUUUUUCGCUUUCCCAUUUUUUUCUUUCAUUGUGUGUUAGAUUUUUUCAAAUUUCAUUGAAAAUAGAUAUGAUCGGACUAUUCUAUUUUCGUGGUGGAAGGUAUAAAUGAAGAUCAUGGACUUGUGACA